GACCGCUCCGGUGGCCUAGUGGUUAGAGCGUUCGCCUCGUAUGCGGGAGGUUGCGAGUUUUAACCUUAACCGAGUCA